AUGUUUCUGAAGCUGGUGUCAGAGCCUUGGAAACAUCAGUGUCAGGAUAUAAUUCACUGUACACUGCCACAACAAAACAAACGCCACAGACGGAAGCAAAAUAUGUUUGUGAUUCUACAGAAUAUGGAAAUAAUACACAUGGAAAAUGGAAAUCUUCCUAGCCAUCUGGAACCUGAGCAUUUGCCAUCAAUAUUAGAUCCAGAAGCACCGAAGCUAGCUAGCAUUUUGCCACUGCUUUCAACGAGGCCAGGAAUCACACACAGCCACAAGUGCUCAGAAGGGGAAGCGCAGCGCUGGAGGGGCGGAAGGACUCCCUCUCUGCUCUCAAGAGUUCAAAAUAGUGAGUACCUACCUACCCUGUAUGGAUGUUUCUUGGCAAUUCAUGGCUCAAUUUGAAGUAUUGUAUCAUUUUGUGAGACCCUGAAAGCAGUCGUAUGCCUAAGGGCUUUGCUGGACUGGAGCUAUGGCAUUUGACAGGGUGCACGACUAAGCCGCUGGCCGUUUCACCUCCACUGUAUGAUACCGCUGCAGUAAACUUCAUUUCUGGUGAGGGCAGAAGCAUAGAGGGAAAAAAAAAAGAAAAAGUAUUAGAGAAACAGCUCGUGUGUAAGGCACAUCCUUACUCAGAAUG
rnacentral:lncRNA from 1 species